rnacentral:rRNA from 1 species
CCUACGGGGGGCAGCAGUGGGGAAUAUUGGGCAAUGGGCGCAAGCCUGACCCAGCAACGCCGCGUGAAGGAAGAAGGUUUGCGGGUUGUAAACUUCUUUUCUGAGGGACGAAGAAAGUGACGGUACCUCAGGAAUAAGCCACGGCUAACUACGUGCCAGCAGCCGCGGUAAUCCGGAGGUGGCAAGCGUUAGCCGGAUUUAUUUGGUGUAAAGGGUGUGUAGGCGGUAAGGAGAGUCAGAUGUGAAAACUCAGGGCUGAACCCUGAGCCUGCAUUUGAAACUGUUUUUCUUGAGUGCUGGAGAGGCAAUCGGAAUUCCGUGUGUAGCGGUGAAAUGCGUAGAGAUACGGAGGAACACCAGUGGCGAAGGCGGAUUGCUGGACAGUAACAGACGCUGAGGCGCGAAAGCGUGGGGAGCGAACAGGAUUAGAUACCCGAGUAGUC